rnacentral:rRNA from 1 species
UUUGACGACAUUUUAUUCUACAGUGCCUCUCUUCAAGAUCACACAAUCCACUUGCAAUCAGUGCUUGAGUUGUUAAGAAGGGAUCAAUGGCAAGUCAAAUGCUCAAAGUGCUCUUUCGCUCAACGCCAGUUAUCCAAUUUGGGCCAUACUAUCAGCCAGCAUGGGGUUGCCACUGAAACCCACAAAAAUAAGAACAUUGCCAACUGGUCUUCUCCGCAACCAGUCAAAGAAGUCCACAGCUUCUGA